rnacentral:rRNA from 1 species
AUGAGCAUCCAACAUGUCAUGGACCUUGUGAAAGCCAUCUUUCAUUACAAGGUUAUUGUUAGCCAUGGCCGCUACAAACCCGGGCAUGGUUCAUGUGGGGUCGAGCCUCAUGGGAAAAAAAUAACGGUUCAUGACGGAAGGAAAGUCCGAGUAUUUGGCCGUGCAUUUUGGGCGUUCGAGCAAUGCGUCAGUGCUUUCGAACACUGUAGGCCGGUCAUCGCCAUUGAUGGCACGUUCUUGACCGGACAAUACAAGGGCACCUUGUUGGUUGUGAUAGCAAGUGAUGCCAAUAACUGGGUGUUGCCAUUGACAUUUUCUUUGGUUGAGGUGGAGAACAAUGACAACUGGGAGUGGUUUUUGCGUCUUUUGAGGACGAAGUUGUCCGAUGAUCUUCAAGAUUGUUGUCUCGCUUUCUCCGACAAGCGGUUCACCACUUUGUACAACAAAUUGCUCGCACACAAAAAACUUGAUCCCGGGGAUCAAGACUUUCUCAAUAGGCACAUUCAAUACCGAAACAAGUGGGCACGUGCUUUUGAUGAAGAUGGCCGAAGAUAUGGUCAAAUGACAAGCAAUAUGGCCGAAUGCUUCAAGAGGGUGCUCAAGGGUGCACGUGCAUUACCCGUGACGGCAAUAGUUCAAUACACAUUUGACAAGAUGAAUGCGUACUUUCUAAAGUACUCAAUGGAAACGGAUGCACAAAUAGCGGGUGAGAACAAGCGCAAGUACAAGUACAAGUUCUCACCCAAGGUUGAUGAAUGGUUGGAAUUUCAAUCACGGAAGGCGGACUCACAAGAAGCUAUACUAUAUGACAAUGAAGAUUGGUUGUAUGAAGUGAAAGAGCAAGAAGAACCACAAACGAUGACCGCCAACAUGGAGGUCGGGCUUUCAAGGUCUCGCUAA